rnacentral:rRNA from 1 species
AUUGAACGCUGGCGGCAUGCUUUACACAUGCAAGUCGAACGGUAACAGGCCGCUAGGUGCUGACGAGUGGCGCACGGGUGCGUAAUGCAUCGGAACGUGCCCAGUCGUGGGGGGUAACUACUCGAAAGAGUAGCUAAUAUCGCAUACGAUCUAUGGAUGAAAGCGGGGGACCGUAAGGCCUCGCGCGAUUGGUGCGGCCGAUGUCAGAUUAGGUAGUUGGUGGGGUAAAGGCUCACCAAGCCAACGAUCUGUAGCUGGUCUGAGAGGACGACCAGCCACACUGGGACUGAGACACGGCCCAGACUCCUACGGGAGGCAGCAGUGGGGAAGUUUGGACAAUGGGCGCAAGCCUGAUCCAGCAAUGCCGCGUGCAGGAAGAAGGCCUUCGGGUUGUAAACUGCUUUUGUACGGAACGAAACGGCUCUGGUUAAUACCCGGGGAUAAUGACGGUACCGUAAGAAUAAGCACCGGCUAACUACGUG